rnacentral:rRNA from 1 species
GAUGAACGCUGGCGGCGUGCCUAAUACAUGCAAGUCGAGCGAACAGACGAGGAGCUUGCUCCUCUGACGUUAGCGGCGGACGGGUGAGUAACACGUGGAUAACCUACCUAUAAGACUGGGAUAACUUCGGGAAACCGGAGCUAAUACCGGAUAAUAUAUUGAACCGCAUGGUUCAAUAGUGAAAGACGGUUUUGCUGUCACUUAUAGAUGGAUCCGCGCCGCAUUAGCUAGUUGGUAAGGUAACGGCUUACCAAGGCGACGAUGCGUAGCCGACCUGAGAGGGUGAUCGGCCACACUGGAACUGAGACACAGUCCAGACUCCUACGGGAGGCAGCAGUAGGGAAUCUUCCGCAAAGGGCGAAAGCCUGACGGAGCAACGCCGCGUGAGUGAUGAAGGUCUUCGGAUCGUAAAACUCUGUUAUUAGGGAAGAACAAAUGUGUAAGUAACUAUGCACGUCUUGACGGUACCUAAUCAGAAAGCCACGGCUAACUACGUG